rnacentral:rRNA from 1 species
UACGUAGGAUCCGAGCAUUAUCCGGAGUGACUGGGCGUAAAGAGUUGCGUAGGUGGCGUAUUAAGUAGACAGUGAAAUCUGAUGGCUCAACCAUUCAGACUGUUGUCUAAACUAGUACGCUCGAGAGCGUCAGGGGUAACUGGAAUUUCUAGUGUAGGAGUGAAAUCCGUAGAUAUUAGAAGGAACACCAAUAGCGUAGGCAGGUUACUGGGGCGUUUCUGACACUGAGGCACGAAAGCGUAGGGAGCAA